rnacentral:rRNA from 1 species
UGGGGAAUAUUGGACAAUGGGCGAAAGCCUGAUCCAGCCAUGCCGCGUGUGUGAAGAAGGCCUUAUGGUUGUAAAGCACUUUAAGCGAGGAGGAGGUUACUGGUAUUAAUACUACCAGGUACUGGACGUUACUCGCAGAAUAAGCACUGGCUAACUCUGUGCCAGCAGCCGCGGUAAUACAGAGGGUGCGAGCGUUAAUCGGAUUUACUGGGCGUAAAGCGUGCGUAGGCGGCUAAUUGAGUCGGAUGUGAAAUCACCGAGCUUAACUUGGGAAUUGCAUUCGAUACUGGUUAGCUAGAGUGUGGGAGAAGAUGGUAGAAUUACAGGUGUAGCGGUGAAAUGCGUAGAGAUCUGGAGGAAUACCGAUGGCGAAGGCAGCCAUCUGGCCUAACACUGACGCUGAGGUACGAAAGCAUGGGGAGCAAACAGG